rnacentral:lncRNA from 1 species
UUCAAUCCACACAAGAGAACCAACAACAUUUCGGAAAGGGAAAUUGAAACAAGAGAGAAGGAUUUGCGGAUUAAAAAUAAAAGAGAAAGAGAGAAGGAAAAAAGAGGAAGGAGUGAGCAGUGAAAGAGAAUGUAGAUGAAGAUGCAAUGCAUGUGACUCCAUGAGAAGGACCUGAGUUAAGCUUUCUGUAGUGCCAAAC